UUGCCUUAGUAAAAAUAUUUUCUUCAUGAAAAGACUUUUCGUAUGGUAACGAAAUUGAAUGGUGCUUUCUUUCCUAGAAUGCAUUUGGUCAGUCUGAAAUGGCAUCAGAACCAAUGGGGGGAAAAAUAGGAGAAGAAUAUCUAGAUAAAUUUGAAGUAGAACUACUAUUUUAAGUUGUUCUUGGAUGACCUUAAGUUGCGUAGCCAUUAUGCUAGUGUAUGCCGUUGUAAAGAUUGUUUUAGCUUAAGCAUAAAUCGUUGAUAGCCCUGAGAUCAUCUAAAAUAGCUAUCAAGAUGAACUUUUUAUCUAGGACUUCGUCAACUAGUUCUUCCUCUAGGGGUGAUGUUACUAACUUAGAAGGGGCCAUUGUUGAAUUAUCAAGAAAAUAAAUAGAAAAAUUGGUAGUCCCAAAGGUUCCAAGAAGCUCAAUUUAUGGGAUUAAUUGGAUUAUCCUAGACAACAUAAUCAAAAUAAUUGAAAAGACAAUAUCAAUUUCAAAUGAUCAUGAAAUAAUUCCAAUUAUAACCCAAGAAAUCCUAAGGAGCCACAAGUCAAAAUAUGAAUUCCUACAUAUAGAAUUAAUCCAAGUAAUAGUAAAACCCCUCAUUAGGAGAGGUUGGAAUUCAGCUAUUCUGUUAUAUUUAAAAGAUGGAAGAUUCAUAGAUUAGCAAGAUGCCUUAUUAGGAAUAGUUGAGUCAAACUUAUUUGAAGGUCUAAUUUAUUUUAAUUGUAG
rnacentral:lncRNA from 1 species